rnacentral:rRNA from 1 species
AUUGAACGCUGGCGGCAUGCUCUACACAUGCAAGUCGAACGGUAACAGGCCGCAAGGUGCUGACGAGUGGCGCACGGGUGAGUAAUGCAUCGGAACGUGCCCAGUCGUGGGGGAUAACUACUCGAAAGAGUAGCUAAUACCGCAUACGAUCUAUGGAUGAAAGCGGGGGACCGUAAGGCCUCGCGCGAUUGGAGCGGCCGAUGUCAGAUUAGGUAGUUGGUGGGGUAAAGGCUCACCAAGCCAACGAUCUGUAGCUGGUCUGAGAGGACGACCAGCCACACUGGGACUGAGACACGGCCCAGACUCCUACGGGAGGCAGCAGUGGGGAAUUUUGGACAAUGGGCGCAAGCCUGAUCCAGCAAUGCCGCGUGCAGGAAGAAGGCCUUCGGGUUGUAAACUGCUUUUGUACGGAACGAAACGGCUCUGGUUAAUACCCGGGGCUAAUGACGGUACCGGAAGAAUAAGCACCGGCUAACUACGUG